rnacentral:rRNA from 1 species
UACGAAGGGGGCUAGCGUUGUUCGGAAUCACUGGGCGUAAAGGGCGCGUAGGCGGUUUGCCAAGUCAGGGGUGAAAUCCUGCAGCUCAACUGUAGAAGUGCCUUUGAUACUGGCGAACUCGAGGGAGGUAGGGGUGGGUGGAACUUCUGGUGGAGCGGUGAAAUGCGUUGAUAUCAGAAGGAACGCCGGUGGCGAAAGCGACCCACUGGAUCUCUACUGACGCUGAGGCGCGAAAAGCUAGGGGGAGCAAACGGG